UAGAGGAAGUAAAAGUCGUAACAAGGUCUCCGUAGGUGAACCUGCGGAGGGAUCAUUACACAAAUAUGAAGGCGGGCUGGAACCUCUCGGGGUUACAGCCUUGCUGAAUUAUUCACCCUUGUCUUUUGCGUACUUCUUGUUUCCUUGGUGGGUUCGCCCACCACUAGGACAAACAUAAACCUUUUGUAAUUGCAAUCAGCGUCAGUAACAAAUUAAUAAUUACAACUUUCAACAACGGAUCUCUUGGUUCUGGCAUCGAUGAAGAACGCAGCGAAAUGCGAUAAGUAGUGUGAAUUGCAGAAUUCAGUGAAUCAUCGAAUCUUUGAACGCACAUUGCGCCCUUUGGUAUUCCAAAGGGCAUGCCUGUUCGAGCGUCAUUUGUACCCUCAAGCUUUGCUUGGUGUUGGGCGUCUUGUCUCUAGCUUUGCUGGAGACUCGCCUUAAAGUAAUUGGCAGCCGGCCUACUGGUUUCGGAGCGCAGCACAAGUCGCACUCUCUAUCAGCAAAGGUCUAGCAUCCAUUAAGCCUUUUUUUCAACUUUUGACCUCGGAUCAGGUAGGAAUACCCGCUGAACUUAAGCAUAUCA
rnacentral:rRNA from 1 species